UACGGGGGUGCCGAAGGCACAAAGCUUGCAUGUCGCAAGGCAAUGUGGCGAGGCACGGGGGUGCCGAAGGCAAAGGGGAUGCCGAAGGCACAAAGCUUGCAUGUCGCAAGGCAAUGUGCCUAGGCACGAGGGUGCCGAAGGUGACACAAAGCUUGCAUGUUGCAAGGCAAAGUGGCUAGGCACGGGGGUGCCGAAGGCAAAGGGGAUGCCGAAGGCACAGAGCUUGCAUGUCGCAAGGAAAGGGGCCUAGGCACGAGGGUGCCGAAGGCAAAGGGGAUGCCGAAGGCACAGAGCUUGCAUGUCGCAAGGCAAUGUGCCUAGGCACGAGGGUGCCGAAGGCAUAAGACUUGCAUGUUGCAAAUAAUAAUAAUAAUAAUAGCUCCUUCGAGGGAGCCAGGUCGUUUUUUUUUUUUUUUUUUUUUUGGAGGUCUCCCCUUCGCAGCCUUGGUAACGCCUUGAGCUGGACUUCAUUAGCUUUGGUACUAAUAGUUCAGUAGUUCAGAAGUUUUCGGCAACACCAGUCCGGCAAGAUUUUCCUCGGGAGGGGGGUAGGUUCGGCAAGGGCAGCUCGGACCAGACCCGGUUUCGUGAGGCCGCAAUUGCUUCUGCUCAACCCUUGCCGAAUGGCAAGGGUGGAUUGAGAAUUUUUGGGGCCUGUGUUGUCGAUUUGAAGGCUGGGCUUCAAGAGUUUUUGGGGUGUAGACUCGGAAGCUGGGCUCUGGGGGCAGAUUCUGAGGCCUUGCGUGCACGGGCUGGGUCCUGGAGGUUUAAGCAAGGACUUGGGCUUGGAGCUGGAGCUGGGCUUUCUGGAUAGAAAUCUCGGGAGGCCUCCUUGGUUUCAGCAAGGCUUGUGGAGGUGCCUCUUAAACAUUCUGCAUAGCCCUUGCCUUGCCGUUCGACAAGGGCAGCUGGGGAGUUUUGUUUGAGAUUUUGGUGGCUGUUGAAACUCUCAGCAGGUGACAAGGUGGUUUCGGCAAGUUCUACUAGAGAAGGAGGCUGAUUCAGCAAAGCUUGUGAGCACAGGCCAGGUCUGAGUAGUUAAAAGUUCUAUGCCGGGAAAGGAAGCUGCUGUGCUAUUCGGCAAGUGAGGGCUUGCGCAAGGUCCGUGCUUCAGCACCACCCUUGUGGUGGUCUGGGACCAUUGGGGCUGGGUUGCGGCUGCAAGGAGGCAGUCCCCUUUUUCUGCUUGCUCGAACUAGGGAAUAUGUCUCAGGGUCGUUACUGCCGAACGGUGGGAGUGGCCCGGAGUCAUUGCAGAGCACACAUCAACGGCCUUGGUAGGGUGGUUUAGGGGUUUUGAGGAGCUGGAGCCUCGGUGUAAGCCCGUGAUUGUGAGGAAGGAAGGGAUUCGAAAUUGCUUCGGUUAGCUUGGAAUUGGAGCUGGACCUCGGGCUAGGAGGGGUUGGGGCCGUUACUGUUGUGAGCUUUUCCUCAAUUUCUUCCACGACCCUUGCCGUUCGGCAAGGGUAGGCUGAGAAUUUUAAUUAUGUGAUCUCACUUGCGGCAGAUUUGAUUCGAUACGAAUUUCAGAGCUUGAGAGUUGCCCACGUUAGUGAUUGCUCAACCCAUGCCGUUCGGCAAGGAUUGAUUGGGAAUAUUUUGAGCUCACCGGUUCGUGCAGGUAGGCUGUGCACGUGGAUAUGCCGUUCAUGAAGCUUGGUUUCUUUGGCAAAGAGUGUUGGUGAGGACAUGGCGCCGAGGUGUGGUGCAGCAUCAUUAGAAGGAGGGCUAUGGUUUCGGCAGCUUGGGUCGGUUUCGUGAGCCAUUCAAGUUUUCACCGAACUUGCCGUUUGGCAGCAAGCAUUUAGCACGUGAUUUUGGCGGCACACCCUUGGGGCUGGGCCGUAUGAUUUUUGGCAGGGUCUAGAAAAGAGGAUUGGACGCUGGGCUUCUGAAGAUUCGGCGGGAGCUGUAGCUGGGGUCCCUUUGGUGUUUUAGCUCAAGUGUGCUAGGUGCCUUAGGUGGCUUACCGAUCGGUAAGUGCGGUGCCGAUGUCUAGAGAUUGUUUGGGUGUUGUCCAAUAUCUUCGGUCGAUAGCCUUCCGAUCGGUAGGGGAGUUGCAGAUCAAGAAUAGAUGGUUUGGGGUGUCGAAAGGUUGGGUGCCGAGAAGGAGAUAGCCCUUCAUGGUGGCUUGAUCCAUCAGUGGCCCUGUGCCAUUUUGCUAUGGUGAAAACCGGCUCUGCAUUUGGAACCACAUGAGUUGCCAUUAGCUUGCCAUUUUGGCGACUUUGGGGUUGAAUGGGAGGUCUUGACUAAUCCAUGGCCUGGGGUGUCGUGCCGCACCGAACGGUAAGGCCGUUCUGGUUAUGACAAAGACCAGCAAAGAGAAUAGGCUGAAGACUUGUGCUGGCUUAUUGUUCAGCAAUACAGAAUUGGUAGGGGGGUGAUGGAAUCUUUGGCAUGGGUGUCCUGAGCAAUUCAUUGACAUGGUGUACACAGCUAGAGGCUAUGAUUCUGUACAAGUGCAUGGAUUUGGAUAACUAUGGGAGGUUUUAUUGCUUCAGUGGGCGAUGACUUUCCAUAAAUAAUUCUGUCAAGUUGAGUUGGUGUUGAUCAACACGAUGCCGAUCCCAUGACUCAUUGCCCACUGCAUGGGUAUUCCAUUGUGUUGAAUUGUCGAAUAACAAUUGGAUAGAAGUGAACCACGUGAACAUUGGGUACCCAAUAUUUUGCCAAAGACGUGUAGAAUAUACAAGGGCCCCCAAACUUUCUCUUCAAAGAGGUGCCGAAUGGCACUUUGAAUUGAGAUGGUGGUUUGGCCAUGCAAGACAUGCAAAAUGAUAGCUACAUUAUGAUUGGCUAAUAGAUUGGUGGACUUGUACCAUUUAUGUUGGCAAAUGGGAAUAAAAUAAAGACACAAGAUAAGAAAUGGAGAUCUUAUCUUUUGGAAGCCCACUCAUCAAUAUUCAUCAAAGGUGCCGAACGGUAAGGCAUGUAAAGGAAAGCUAUGGUGGCCCACAUACUUCCUCUUCUUCUGGAC
rnacentral:lncRNA from 1 species